CCUUCUUGUUUGUUGUUUUUUCCCAUAAUUCCAAUAAAUGCAUUUCCAACACGUUAACCAUAAAUGAAUCUCCAUGUUGCUAAAAUUGGAUCAAGACAUGAUGUUUAAAAUCCAAUAAGUGUAAGAAUGCAUGGGUCAAAUCAGAAAAAAAAAUGUUAAAUACCUUCUGUAGCCUUUUUAUUACUGCACACGUACUUAGAGAAUAUCUGUCUCCUAUUUAUAAGAGUCAAAUAUAAUACUCCACCACCAUCCCCACCCUUUUCAAACAUUUAGUUGGAGCAUCUUUUUACAAAACCAC
rnacentral:lncRNA from 1 species